rnacentral:rRNA from 1 species
AACGAACGCUGGCGGCGUGCUUAACACAUGCAAGUCGAACGGUGAAGCGAGUGCUUGCACUCGUGGAUCAGUGGCGAACGGGUGAGUAACACGUGAGUAACCUGCCCAUCACUCUGGGAUAAGCACUGGAAACGGUGUCUAAUACUGGAUACGACCAACCCUUGCAUGGGGUGUUGGUGGAAAGAUUUAUCGGUGAUGGAUGGACUCGCGGCCUAUCAGCUUGUUGGCGGGGUAAUGGCCCACCAAGGCGACGACGGGUAGCCGGCCUGAGAGGGUGACCGGCCACACUGGGACUGAGACACGGCCCAGACUCCUACGGGAGGCAGCAGUGGGGAAUAUUGCACAAUGGGCGAAAGCCUGAUGCAGCGACGCCGCGUGAGGGAUGACGGCCUUCGGGUUGUAAACCUCUUUCAGCAGGGAAGAAGCGAAAGUGACGGUACCUGCAGAAGAAGCACCGGCUAACUACGUG